rnacentral:lncRNA from 1 species
UUUUUUNUUUUUUUUUUUUUUUUUUGCUUUUUAGGGCUGCACCUGCGGCAUAUGGAGGUUCCUAGGCUAGGGACUGAAUCGGAGCUACAACUGCUGGCCUACGCCAUGGGCUAGCAAUGCAGGAUCUGAGCCACACCUGCUACACCGCAGCUCAAGGCAAUGCUGGAUCCUUAACCCACUGAGGGAGGCCAGGGAUCAAAUCCACAACCUCGUGGUUCCUAGUCAGAUUCGUUAAUCACUGAGCCAUGACGAGAACUCCCUACAGUUGGCUUUUAAACUUAAUUUAGUUUUAUUCUUUCCAUGCUCAGGUCCCAGGCCUGAUCCUCAUUAUUAUAGCUUUGGAAGUAGAUUUUAAGCAGUUUGACCAAAGUGAUCAGGCUGAAAGAUGAAUUCAUUCUAAGCAAACUCAAAAAGCUUAUUUAUAAAUUAGAUUGUUUAUUUCUUUGUAUACAAAAAGGAAUUAAUACCUUAAUAUUGACUAUGAUUAUAAAUAUCUUGCUAUCCAGGACAUUCUCUUAAUUGGAUCAAGGUAUUAUGCAAACCACAUACCGUUAUAAAAUGUUUAAUUUUCAUGAUUUAAUGUGAAAAUAACUGAGUGCUUAAGGCCUCCUCACUGCACUGGUAUCUGUGGUAUUAGAUAGCGGUACCAAACCCUAAAUUCCUUGAAAAUGAGGGAAACUCUUCUUUUGUGACUAGAGCAUGUGCACGAUUCUGACCUACCAGUCUUUGCCUGGUCAUGGACUGAGCUGGUCUGUACCUUAAACAUCGCAUCCUUUCCAACUGCACCUUAUUUAGCUGUCAUACGCCAGGACUGCUCAUGUCUAGUUCUGACCCAUCAUAGCCCUUUCUUCCUCUUUCAUUCAUGUCCUCUCUUCUGUCAUCUCCAAAGUAUUUUCCCCCACUUUCGGUGCCCAGGCUGUCUUCCCCAAGGUUCCUUCUACCGUCAGUUCUGUUAUCACUUACCUUCCAUCUUGUUUCGCCUACUUAUCACCUCCUAGACUGUCACUUCAUCUCCUACCUGGCCCAGACUGGUGCCACUACUGGGACUGGAAAAGAAGCGUCGAAUCGCGAUCUGGCCUGAACCUUCCCGGGUGAGGGUGUCAGAGCCCAUUCUCCUUCCCAGCGGAGGAGCUUGAGGAACGCUUCAUCACGCUCUUUGCUUAGUUUUCCCCUUCCAUUUUCUCCAGAUCC